rnacentral:rRNA from 1 species
UACGGGGGGGGCAAGCGUUGUUCGGAAUUACUGGGCGUAAAGGGCUCGUAGGCGGCCAACUAAGUCAGACGUGAAAUCCCUCGGCUUAACCGGGGAACUGCGUCUGAUACUGGAUGGCUUGAAUCCGGGAGAGGGAUGCGGAAUUCCAGGUGUAGCGGUGAAAUGCGUAGAUAUCUGGAGGAACACCGGUGGCGAAGGCGGUUCUCUGGGAAUGUUCUGACGCUGAGGAGCGAAAGUGUGGGGAGCGAACAGG